UACAGAGGGUGCAAACGUUGUUCGGAAUUACUGGGCGUAAAGCGCGUGUAGGCUGCUCGGAAAGUCGGAUGUGAAAGCCCUGGGCUCAACCUAGGAAGUGCAUUCGAAACUUCCGAGCUGGAGUGCUGGAGAGGAAGGCGGAAUUCUCGGUGUAGAGGUGAAAUUCGUAGAUAUCGAGAGGAACACCGGUGGCGAAGGCGGCCUUCUGGACAGCGACUGACGCUGAGACGCGAAAGCGUGGGUAGCAAACAGG
rnacentral:rRNA from 1 species